rnacentral:guide_RNA from 1 species
CAAUAUAAACAGUAGAUUCACUGCAGAGAUAUGAUAGAUAAUU